UAAGGAAUAUUGGUCAAUGGACGCAAGUCUGAACCAGCCAUGCCGCGUGAAGGAUUAAGGUCCUCUGGAUUGUAAACUUCUUUUCUCUGGGACGAAACCCCCUGUAUCCACAGGGCCUGACGGUACCAGAGGAAUAAGCACCGGCUAACUCCGUGCCAGCAGCCGCGGUAAUACGGAGGGUGCAAGCGUUAUCCGGAUUCACUGGGUUUAAAGGGUGCGUAGGUGGACAUUUAAGUCAGUGGUGAAAUCUUUGGGCUUAACCCGAAAACUGCCAUUGAUACUAUUUGUCUUGAAUUCUCUGGAGGUAAGCGGAAUAUGUCAUGUAGCGGUGAAAUGCUUAGAUAUGACAUAGAACACCCAUUGCGAAGGCAGCUUACUACGGAGACAUUGACACUGAGGCACGAAAGCGUGGGGAUCAAACA
rnacentral:rRNA from 1 species